UAGGAGUGCUUGAACAAUUAUAACACUGAGUUAGCAGAUUAAAUAUUCUCUUUCCAACAGCUUUGAAGAAUGUAAAUGGUGCGUGUAGAAGUGUUUUCAGCGAAGAGUUUAGAACAAGUUAAGAUAUAUAUUCUGUGACGGCCAUAUUUAUACGAAACUAGUGAUGGUUGCUGUCGGCCCCCCACCAACAGUCGCUCAUGGGUAGAGGUGGCCGCCGAAUAUUGUACAUGGGAAAAAGCUGCUUUUCGCAUGUUUUGCCUUAAUGGGUAAUAACCCUAAAGAACGUUUCGACGUGAAAGAUGUUUGUAGCAAUUAAGGGUCUUGACAGAAGGAUGUUACGAGGAUGGACUAUAGUUUAUGGUAAGGUCAAGGGACGUAACAACACUCGUGAAGAAAAAAAAAAGGUAAAGUAAACUCGCGAAAAAAGUAUUUUUUUUCACUCGAGUUUUACACUUCGAGUUUUCACUCGAUUUUGCAAAAUUUGCGCAAGUGGCAUUGGAGGAAUAGCUGGCAGCAAUUGAUGAUCGAAGGCAGCUGUGAUUUGAAACGAUAAAAUCUUGUUUGCUGUAAUCUCUUCCUCCUUUUUCCAUCGGCACGUCUAAUCGAACGUUCUCGCAGCUGUUACUUUUGACCGUUAUCGUUUCGUGUGUGCGUGUGUGCAUGUUUAUUAUCGCCGAAAUUUUUCAAUCGAUCGAUAUUUUUGGUGGACACGAAACCAGGUUCAUUUAACGAUUAUAAGUGGUUUUCAACGGUAAUGUUAAACGAAUAUUUUAUCUCUCGAUACAUUUAUAGGGGAAUUAUGGAUGAAAUGUCGUCAAC
rnacentral:misc_RNA from 1 species